AUAGAUACCUGGUAGUCCACGCCCUAAACGAUGCGAACUGGAUGUUGGGUACAUUACGGUACUCAGUGUCGAAGCUAACGCGUUAAGUUCGCCGCCUGGGGAGUACGGUCGCAAGACUGAAACUCAAAGGAAUUGACGGGGGCCCGCACAAGCGGUGGAGUAUGUGGUUUAAUUCGAUGCAACGCGAAGAACCUUACCUGGCCUUGACAUCUGUCGGAUCCUGCAGAGAUGCGGGAGUGCCGCAAGGAACGACAAGACAGGUGCUGCAUGGCUGUCGUCAGCUCGUGUCGUGAGAUGUUGGGUUAAGUCCCGCAACGAGCGCAACCCUUGUCCCUAGUUGCCAACACGUAAUGGUGGGAACUCUAGGGAGACUGCCGGUGACAAACCGGAGGAAGGUGGGGAUGACGUCAAGUCCUCAUGGCCCUUACGGCCAGGGCUACACACGUACUACAAUGGUCGGUACAGAGGGUCGCGAAGCCGCAAGGUGGAGCCAAUCCCAGAAAACCGAUCCCAGUCCGGAUUGGAGUCUGCAACUCG
rnacentral:rRNA from 1 species